UACGAGGGGGGCAAGCGUUGUUCGGAAUUAUUGGGCGUAAAGGGCGCGUAGGCGGUGCGGUAAGUCACCUGUGAAACCUCUAGGCUCAACCUAGAGCCUGCAGGCGAAACUGCCGUGCUUGAGGGUGGGAGAGGUGCGUGGAAUUCCCGGGGUAGCGGUGAAAUGCGUAGAUAUCUGGAGGAACACCGGUGGCGAAGGCGGCAUCCUGGACCGGUAUUGACGCUGAGGCGCGAAAGCCAGGGGAGCAAACGGG
rnacentral:rRNA from 1 species